rnacentral:rRNA from 1 species
UACAGAGGGUGCGAGCGUUAAUCGGAAUUACUGGGCGUAAAGCGCGCGUAGGCGGCUUUGCAAGUCGGGUGUGAAAUCCCCAGGCUUAACCUGGGAACUGCAUUCGAGACUGCAUUGCUAGAGUAUGGGAGAGGGAAGUGGAAUUUCCGGUGUAGCGGUGAAAUGCGUAGAUAUCGGAAGGAACAUCAGUGGCGAAAGCGACUUCCUGGAUCAAUACUGACGCUCAUGUGCGAAAGCGUGGGGAGCAAACAGG